rnacentral:rRNA from 1 species
UACGGGGGGAGCAAGCGUUGUUCGGAUUUACUGGGCGUAAAGGGCGCGUAGGCGGCCAGCGCAAGUCAGUUGUGAAAUCUCCGGGCUUAACUCGGAAAGGUCAACUGAUACUGCGCGGCUAGAGUGCGGAAGGGGCAACUGGAAUUCUCGGUGUAGCGGUGAAAUGCGUAGAUAUCGAGAGGAACACCUGCGGCGAAGGCGGGUUGCUGGGCCGACACUGACGCUGAUGCGCGAAAGCGUGGGGAGCAAACAGG